GAGCCGAAAACAGAAAGGACGACGGAAGGCGGCUAAGUGGCCAAAAGGAAAAAUUAAAAACGCAAGAGAGGUUUUGGAGCUUUGGGGAAAAAAAAAAAACAGAGGAAAAUCUGGAAGUUGGGCUUCGGCUAAGAAGGCUACGGGAAAAACAGAAAAAUGGAAAUUGGGGAGAGCAAAAGGGUUGGAAGUAACAGGGGAGGUUUCGGGUAGACAAAAAGAAAGAAAAGGAAAAGAAACAGAGGGAGGAACAAGAGUGAAGAAACAAGGCUAAGAAAGAAAAACAGGGGAAGGGGUUUAGGCAAAAUGGGGGAGCUUCGUGAGAAAGAGGAACCGAGAGAGAGCUUGCGGUGGAGGAGUUGGAAGAAGAAAAGGAAAGGGGGAAAAGGAAAAAGCAAGCUGCAAAAGAGCUAAGAAAAACAGAGAGAAAAAUCUAAAAAGAGGGGGGGCUUCCGCUUCAAUAAUCGUGAGAGGAGGAAAAAUUCCCAACACGACAGUCACAAUUUUAACUCCCUCUGCCGCCUGCCCAGAUUCUUCCUCACACCAAUCCGCAUCCGCAGCAGCUGCUGUCCGUCAUCGCCACCGUAGCCGUCGAAGCAGCAGGGGUCGCUACUGCCACCACCCCCAACUUGCCAUUGCCGCCUGUGAAGCUUCACCAAGAACAUUGAAGUUCAAGAUGCUGAAAUUUGAGUUUUCUUGUUGUCAUGAUUGGACGAAAAAGGCACUUCCAGUUUUAGCAUUUGGGAUGGUGAGCAAGAUAAUGAUUUCCGUGAUUGGUUGCAUGCGGUCUGUUGAUUGGGUUGUAAUUUCUGGUUUCUCUGAUAAUGUUGGGGUUAGCCGGGACUUCGUGGGAGUGACAAUCAAUGAAGUUCCUAACGCCCAUUUUCUGUUUGACAAAAGGUCCGAGUGAGAAUGAGGAGUAAAUAAAUCCUUUGUAGUCCACGCGCAUGGGGAGAUGGGCAGGGGUUUUAGUCUAGUUAAUUUUGGCAGUUUACUCUCAUUAGAUCAAUUUAGUUAUGUCAUUCGUGCCAUGAUCGCAUAGCCUUCCCCUUUGUCUUUUGUGUGAGUUGCCAAAUUUGGUAAAGGAGUGUUUUUUGAUGGCAAAAGUUACUAAUCAAUAAAAUGGGAAGGAAUUUGGGGG